UGGGGAAUAUUGCACAAUGGGGGAAACCCUGGUGCAGCGACGCCGCGUGAACGAAGAAGGUAUUCGUAUCGUAAAGUUCUGUCCUAUGGGAAGAUAAUGACAGUACCAUAGAAGAAAGCUCCGGCUAAAUACGUGCCAGCAGCCGCGGUAAUACGUAUGGAGCGAGCGUUGUCCGGAAUUAUUGGGCGUAAAGGGUACGCAGGCGGUUUAAUAAGUCGAAUGUUAAAGAUCGGGGCUCAACCCCGCAAAGCAUUGGAAACUGAUAAACUUGAGUAGUGGAGAGGAAAGUGGAAUUCCUAGUGUAGUGGUGAAAUACGUAGAUAUUAGGAGGAAUACCAGUAGCGAAGGCGACUUUCUGGACACAAACUGACGCUGAGGUACGAAAGCGUGGGGAGCAAACAGG
rnacentral:rRNA from 1 species